rnacentral:lncRNA from 10 species
CCUGGAUUACCUGGUUGGGCCCAAAAUGCAAUCAAAUGUAUUUUCAUAUAAGACAGAUACACAGAGGAGAAGAGACAGAUGAGAAGAAGGCAAUGUAACCCAGGAGGCAGAGACUGAAGUGACACAGCCACAAAGUCAAAGAACGCCAACUGCAGCUAGAAGCUGGAAGAGGGAAAGAACAGUGUGAUGUUCAAUGUACGUGUCAAGGGGCCG